CAGGUGGUGCAUGGUUGUCGUCAGCUCGUGUCGUGAGAUGUUGGUUAAGUCCCGCAACGAGCGCAACCCCUAUUGUUAGUUGCCAUCAUUCAGUUGGGCACUCUAGCGAGACUGCCGGUAAUAAACCGGAGGAAGGUGGGGAUGACGUCAAAUCAUCAUGCCCCUUAUGACCUGGGCUACACACGUGCUACAAUGGUUGGUACAACGAGUUGCGAGUCGGUGACGGCGAGCUAAUCUCUUAAAGCCAAUCUCAGUUCGGAUUGUAGGCUGCAACUCGCCUACAUGAAGUCGGAAUCGCUAGUAAUCGCGGAUCAGCACGCCGCGGUGAAUACGUUCCCGGGCCUU
rnacentral:rRNA from 1 species